AUUUGUCUGGUUAAUUCCGAUAACGAACGAGACCUUAACCUGCUAACUAGAUUCAUCAGUACUACUUUUGAUAUCUUCUUAGAGGGACUAUGUAAUACAAAUACAUGGAAGUUUGAGGCAAUAACAGGUCAGUGAUGCCCUUAUAUGUCCUGGGCUGCACGCGUGCUACACUGAUGCAUACAACAAGUGCCUAACCAGACAUGGUAUGGCAAUCUCGAAUAUGCAUCGUGAUGGGGAUAGAUCUUUGCAAUUAUAGAUCUUGAACGAGGAAUUCCAAGUAAGUGCAAGUCAUCAUCUUGCAUUGAUUAUGUCCCUGCCCUUCGUACACACCGCCCGUCGCUCCUACCGAUACCGGGUGAUCCGGUGAACCUUUUGGACUCUUUACUGGGAAAGAUAAGUAAACCAUAUCACCUAGAGGAAGGAGAAGUCGUAACAAGGUUUCCGUAGGUGAACCUGCRGAAGGAUCA
rnacentral:rRNA from 1 species